rnacentral:rRNA from 1 species
UACGUAGGUGGCAAGCGUUGUCCGGAUUUACUGGGCGUAAAGAGCGCGCAGGCGGUCGUUCAAGUCGCGUGUGAAAGCCCCCGGCUCAACUGGGGAGGGUCACGCGAUACUGAUCGACUCGAAGGCAGGAGAGGGAAGUGGAAUUCCUGGUGUAGCGGUGAAAUGCGCAGAUAUCAGGAGGAACACCAGUGGCGAAGGCGCCACUCUGGGCCGUAACUGACGCUGAGGAGCGAAAGCGUGGGUAGCAAACAGG